GGCUCCCGGGCAGUUCAGAGAACACUGCCUUGCAUAUUCUUGGGCCAGAGGCAGACGGUCCUUGGUCAGCGUCCUGGCUAAUCUGGGGCCAAGGCUGCUUGGAAUGAGAUUUUGGCGACCCAAGUCCAAGGUCCAGAUCUGUUUCUAAGGACGUGGCCAGAAACUCAGCUUUAUUUUUCUGGCUAUUUUUGGAGGAACGAUGGCCUCUGCUGAAAGAGGCUUUAGGGUUUGGCCCUUUUGGGGAACACACUGUGAACGCCAGCUGGAUUGCAGUCCAGG
rnacentral:lncRNA from 1 species